rnacentral:rRNA from 1 species
GUCGAACGAUGAAGAGUAGCUUGCUACUCGGAUUAGUGGCGCACGGGUGAGUAAUGCAUAGAUAAUGUGCCCCUUAGUUCGGGAUAGCCACUGGAAACGGUGAUUAAUACCGGAUACUCCUUCUCAUUAUAAGAUGAGUCGGGAAAGUUUUUUCGCUAAGGGAUCAGUCUAUGUUCCAUCAGGUAGUUGGUGAGGUAAUGGCUCACCAAGCCUAUGACGGAUAUCUGGUUUGAGAGGAUGAUCAGACACACUGGAACUGAGACACGGUCCAGACUCCUACGGGAGGCAGCAGUGAGGAAUAUUGCACAAUGGAGGAAACUCUGAUGCAGCAACGCCGCGUGGAGGAUGACGCAUUUCGGUGUGUAAACUCCUUUUAUUAGGGAAGAUAAUGACGGUACCUAAUGAAUAAGCACCGGCUAACUACGUGCCAGCAGCCGCGGUAAUACGUAGGGUGCAAGCGUUAAUCGGAAUUACUGGGCGUAAAGCGUGCGCAGGCGGUUAUGUAAGACAGGUGUGAAAUCCCCGGGCUUAACCUGGGAACUGCAUUUGUGACUGCAUAGCUAGAGUACGGUAGAGGGGGAUGGAAUUCCGCGUGUAGCAGUGAAAUGCGUAGAUAUGCGGAGGAACACCGAUGGCGAAGGCAAUCCCCUGGACCUGUACUGACGCUCAUGCACGAAAGCGUGGGGAGCAAACAGGAUUAGAUACCCUGGUAGUCCACGCCCUAAACGAUGUCGACUUGGAGGUUGUUCC